AGCAGCCGCGGUAAUUCCAGCUCCAAUAGCGUAUAUUAAAGUUGCUGCAGUUAAAAAGCUCGUAGUUGAAUUUCGGGACUAAUAUGUCGGUCGUGCCUCGGUACGUACUGGCAUCGUUGGUUUCUCCCUUCUGAAAACCUUGAUGUCAUUAAUUUGGUGUCUUGGGGAAUCAGGACUGUUACUUUGAAAAAAUUAGAGUGUUUAAAGUAGGCUCGCGCUUGAAUACAUUAGCAUGGAAUAAUGAAAUAGGACGUUUGAUUCUAUUUUGUUGGUUUCUAGGAUCGACGUAAUGAUUAAUAGGGAUAGUUGGGGGCAUUAGUAUUCAAUUGUCAGAGGUGAAAUUCUUGGAUUUAUUGAAGACUAACUACUGCGAAAGCAUUUGCCAAGGAUGUUUUCAUUAAUCAAGAACGAAAGUUAGGGGAUCGAAGACGAUCAGAUACCGUCGUAGUCUUAACCAUAAACUAUGCCGACUAGGGAUUGGGUGAUGUAAUUUUUAAUGACUCAUUCGGCGCCUUACGGA
rnacentral:rRNA from 1 species